rfam:Gorilla gorilla gorilla genomic chromosome, chr19, whole genome shotgun sequence
GCCAGGCAUGGUAUCACACACCUGUAGUCCAGGCUCCUCGGGAGGCUGAAGCAGGAGGAUCGCUGGAGCCCAGUAGUUCUAGGCUGGAGUAUGCUGUUCUGAUGCGGUGUCUUCACUAAACUCAACAUCAAUAUGGUGACCUCCAGGGAGCCAGGGACCAUCAGGUUUCCUAAGGACAGGUGUACUGGCCCAAGUCAGAAAUGGAGCAGGUCAGAACUCCCAUGCUGAUCAGUAAUGGACUCGGGUUUGUGAAUAGCCACUGCACUCCAGCGUGGGCAACACAGCAAGACCCUGUCUCUU